GAUGAAGAACGCAGCGAAAUGCGAUAAGUAAUGUGAAUUGCAGAAUUCAGUGAAUCAUCGAAUCUUUGAACGCACAUUGCGCCCCCUGGUAUUCCGGGGGGCAUGCCUGUCCGAGCGUCAUUACUGCCCUCAAGCGCGGCUUGUGUGUUGGGCCCUCGUCCCCCCGGGGACGUGCCCGAAAGGCAGUGGCGGCGCCGUGCCCGGACCUCGAGCGUAUGGGGCUUUGUCACCCGCUCUGGAGGCCCGGCCGGCGGCCGUCGGACCACCCCAACCUUUUUAACCGGUUGACCUCGGAUCAGGCAGGGAUACCCGCUGAACUUAAGCAUAUCAAUAAGCGGAGGA
rnacentral:misc_RNA from 1 species